rfam:Solanum tuberosum cultivar DM 1-3 516 R44 scf00144_41, whole genome shotgun sequence.
GGAUCCGUGGCGCAAUGGUAGCGCGUCUGACUCCAGACCAGAAGGUUGCGAAUUUGAUUCACGUCAGGUUUG